rnacentral:lncRNA from 1 species
UGAAUAUUUAUUUUGACUUUUCAAAACAACUGAUAAAUUUUGUAAUGUUAAGAAUUUUAAAACGUGCUGAAACUUGUUUAAAAUGUUUAUUGACUUAUACUCAUAAAUAAUUAUCUUAAAAGUCAUAGUAGGUUCGUUGCAAUUUCCAUUUUGAAAAUUUCAUAAGAUUGAUAAACAGCAAUGAUAACGAUGGCUUAAGCAUAUAGUAGAUGCAAGUAGUUAGGCAUGCAUUAUCUAAUUUAAUCUUCAACAACCCUAUGAGGCAGUUACUAUUAUUAUUUAUCUUUUACAUGUAAGGAAACAGAGUCAUAGUAGAUUUAUGUAACUUAGUAGAGUUGCCCCAGCUAGUGAGUAGCAGAGCUGGAGUUUGGAACUUACCCAGCUCCAUCUAAUGACAAUAGUGCCUCAUGCCUCUCACAGAAAAAAUGUUCUCAUAGCAUUUCCAUUUAAUGUGAAAGGAAGGAAUGCUGUCAUGUCUUCCAUCUCUCUCUUUGUGUGACUUUUCAAUCAGUGAGACUGGUUUGGGUCCCUGGCUUUUCUAUUAGCCCUACUGAUUUGAAAUGUUUUUAUGUGGAAAUAUACAGAAUUAGAUCAUCUUUCUUAAAGCCUCUCAUUUUGAUUCAUAUGAUAUCUUUUGAUAAAGCCUACAAUCUUGGCUGUUUUGUGGAAAUGCCUAAGUUUUCAUCUAGUGUUUUGCGGUAAUAACCUAGUAAUGAUCAGAAUGGGAGGAUGAGGCAUCUGGUCCUAUCCCAAAUAGGACUGAAGGGCCACCUCUAACUCAGAAAUUGACAAGUGAAGAAUGAAUCCUGUCAUGGUGACAAUAUAUUUGUAAAAGAAUUAUUUCUGAUGAAAGUGACAGGGACAUAUUUUCCCUGCAGGAAUUACUCAGACACAGGUCGGGCCAGAGGAGGCCUGAGGAGAUAACCAUCAAAGCAGCCACUUAUCAAGGAAGCUGUUACAGGGUGAUGGGAUCAAUUAGUCAGCUUCUGCCACACAUCAGCAUCAUGUGGCCUCCUGGUAACAGUUCUGAGUUGUGACUCAGGCUGGUCUGCUUAGGAGCUCCAAACUGGGAGUCAGCACAGUGAAGUAUUAAUAGGAUAAUAAUAUAAUUCGUCAUCCAACUUGAGAUACCUGUGAGAUUGAAAGG